rnacentral:lncRNA from 1 species
GUUAUAAAACUUCAUUUAGUGAUCGAUCGAGGACAAGCUCUGGAUCCCUAAUUGAGAGCUCAAAAAAAUAUAAAGAGGCUUUUAUGGGCCUAAUAAACUGAAUGACAAACUACAAGCCCAAAUACAAGUCCAAGUCCGUAUGAAAUCAACCUUGCCAAAUCAGCCCACUUAUAUGUAUUUAUAUAUAAACAACAUCCACAUUUUUUUGUACGGUUAUGGAUUUAUUUUACAACAGCUGCUUCUUCUCCUUAGCUUUCAAAACUCUUUUCGCCAUCAAAGAACUUAUC